GUGCUCACCUUGGCAUCACCUAUACUAAAAUUGGAACCAUACAGAGAGGAUUAGCACAGCCACUGUGCAAGGAUGACACAUGAAAGGUUCUGUAUUUUUUU
rnacentral:snRNA from 1 species